rnacentral:ncRNA from 1 species
GCAGAGGUUCCAUUCUUGGAUUAAUAAGAAAGGGAGUGAAAAGCUCCCACGGUCACGCCGCUGUGUGGGAAGAGUCGUAUUUUAUUCAUGUCACUGGGAAACUGGGAAGGCAAAAUACGGCAGAGACGCCCGAGUCAGAAGACUUGCCCUGUACA